AGAGUUUGAUCCUGGCUCAGAUUGAACGCUGGCGGCGGGCCUAACACAUGCAAGUCGAGCGGAUGACGGGAGCUUGCUCCUUGAUUCAGCGGCGGACGGGUGAGUAAUGUCUAGGAAUCUGCCUGGUAGUGGGGGACAACGUUUCGAAAGGAACGCUAAUACCGCAUACGUCCUACGGGAGAAAGCAGGGGACCUUCGGGCCUUGCGCUAUCAGAUGAGCCUAGGUCGGAUUAGCUUGUUGGUGAGGUAAUGGCUCACCAAGGCGACGAUCCGUAACUGGUCUGAGAGGAUGAUCAGUCACACUGGAACUGAGACACGGUCCAGACUCCUACGGGAGGCAGCAGUGGGGAAUAUUGGACAAUGGGCGAAAGCCUGAUCCAGCCAUGCCGCGUGUGUGAAGAAGGUCUUCGGAUUGUAAAGCACUUUAAGUUGGGAGGAAGGGUUGUAGAUUAAUACUCUGCAAUUUUGACGUUACCGACAGAAUAAGCACCGGCUAACUCUGUGCCAGCAGCCGCGGUAAUACAGAGGGUGCAAGCGUUAAUCGGAAUUACUGGGCGUAAAGCGCGCGUAGGUGGUUUGUUAAGUUGGAUGUGAAAGCCCCGGGCUCAACCUGGGAACUGCAUCCAAAACUGGCAAGCUAGAGUACGGUAGAGGGUGGUGGAAUUUCCUGUGUAGCGGUGAAAUGCGUAGAUAUAGGAAGGAACACCAGUGGCGAAGGCGACCACCUGGACUGAUACUGACACUGAGGUGCGAAAGCGUGGGGGAGCAAACAGGAUUAGAUACCCUGGUAGUCCACGCCGUAAACGAUGUCAACUAGCCGUUGGAAUCCUUGAGAUUUUAGUGGCGCAGCUAACGCAUUAAGUUGACCGCCUGGGGAGUACGGCCGCAAGGUUAAAACUCAAAUGAAUUGACGGGGGCCCGCACAAGCGGUGGAGCAUGUGGUUUAAUUCGAAGCAACGCGAAGAACCUUACCAGGCCUUGACAUGCAGAGAACUUUCCAGAGAUGGAUUGGUGCCUUCGGGAACUCUGACACAGGUGCUGCAUGGCUGUCGUCAGCUCGUGUCGUGAGAUGUUGGGUUAAGUCCCGUAACGAGCGCAACCCUUGUCCUUAGUUACCAGCACGUUAUGGUGGGCACUCUAAGGAGACUGCCGGUGACAAACCGGAGGAAGGUGGGGAUGACGUCAAGUCAUCAUGGCCCUUACGGCCUGGGCUACACACGUGCUACAAUGGUCGGUACUGAGGGUUGCCAAGCCGCGAGGUGGAGCUAAUCUCACAAAACCGAUCGUAGUCCGGAUCGCAGUCUGCAACUCGACUGCGUGAAGUCGGAAUCGCUAGUAAUCGCGAAUCAGAAUGUCGCGGUGAAUACGUUCCCGGGCCUUGUACACACCGCCCGUCACACCAUGGGAGUGGGUUGCACCAGAAGUAGCUAGUCUAACCUUCGGGAGGACGGUUACCACGGUGUGAUUCAUGACUGGGGUGAAGUCGUAACAAGGUAACCGUA
rnacentral:rRNA from 1 species